AUGCAGUCGAGCGCAGGAAGUUAUCUGAUCCUCUUUUAGAGGUGACGAUAAUGGAAUGAGCGGCGGACGGGUGAGUAACACGUAGGCAACCUGCCUGUAAGACUGGGAUAACUCGUGGAAACGCGAGCUAAUACCGGAUAACACUUUUCAUCUCCUGAUGAGAAGUUGAAAGGCGGCUUUUGCUGUCACUUACAGAUGGGCCUGCGGCGCAUUAGCUAGUUGGUAAGGUAAUGGCUUACCAAGGCGACGAUGCGUAGCCGACCUGAGAGGGUGAUCGGCCACACUGGGACUGAGACACGGCCCAGACUCCUACGGGAGGCAGCAGUAGGGAAUCUUCCGCAAUGGACGAAAGUCUGACGGAGCAACGCCGCGUGAGUGAUGAAGGUUUUCGGAUCGUAAAACUCUGUUGUUAGGGAAGAACAAGUGCCAUAGUAACUGAUGGCACCUUGACGGUACCUAACCAGAAAGCCACGGCUAACUACGUGCCAGCAGCCGCGGUAAUACGUAGGUGGCAAGCGUUGUCCGGAAUUAUUGGGCGUAAAGCGCUCGCAGGCGGUUCUUUAAGUCUGAUGUGAAAUCUUACGGCUCAACCGUAAACGUGCAUUGGAAACUGGGGAACUUGAGUGCAGAAGAGGAGAGUGGAAUUCCACGUGUAGCGGUGAAAUGCGUAGAGAUGUGGAGGAACACCAGUGGCGAAGGCGACUCUCUGGUCUGUAACUGACGCUGAGGAGCGAAAGCGUGGGGAGCGAACAGGAUUAGAUACCCUGGUAGUCCACGCCGUAAACGAUGAGUGCUAGGUGUUAGGGGGUUUCCGCCCCUUAGUGCUGAAGUUAACGCAUUAAGCACUCCGCCUGGGGAGUACGGGCCGCAAGGCUGAAACUCAAAAG
rnacentral:rRNA from 1 species